CACGUAUUUAUUUAUUCAUAUAUAUAUUUAAAUAUGUAUAUAUAUUUAUAUGGUAGAAAUUUUGAGGCAAAGAGUUCGUUUUACUCAAUUACAUGGCCAAUGAAAAGAUUUUUGUUUUUCGAUUUUUCGUUAUAAAUGAUUUUUGUUAUAAGAUUAGUCGACGAGAGCGGGUCUUACGGCAUUGACGUUCAUUAAAAUUGACGCUACGCCAAAGAAUUUCGAACUCGCCGGCGUGAAGUCGUUUAUAAAUAUGUUGUGUAUUACGGUUAUACGUAAUUCUAUCAUACCUUGACAUUUUUGUACAAUUCGUCUUGCAAGAUACAAAUCCCGUGAACGAAACUAAGAAAUGAAGGGAAAAAUAGUUUUUUUCCUCUUUUCUGGGAGACUCAAUAUUUUUAGUUGUGUUAAUUUUGAAAGAAAUGAGAUAUAUAUAUAUAUAUAUAUGUAUCAAGUCGGUCCUUCAUGACUGAAGAUCGUGGACUCCACUUGCAUCAUGCUCAAUGGUGUCUUGAUAAAGGUACUCUCGAGCUUUCCAUUGCCGUCAGAAAGUUGGUGGAAGUUGAUCAAUUAAAAAUCUGAUACGUUUUGGAUGAAUUUAACGUUGCUUAUGCACGAGCCGAAAAUAUAAUAAUAAUAUAGUUACACGUUGAUAUGAGUGUUUAUAUAGAAAAUUAUGAGAGGUAUAUUUCUCCAUGUAUGUAUGUAUACUCUUGUGAAUAUAUACAUAAUAUAUAUAUAUAUAAGAUAGAUGCGAAAAACAUAUCUAGAGCUAGGAAAUACUCUUUAAAAGUUCCUAUCAAGCUAUUAUCGGUUGAGUGUAAGAAUGAAUGAAAGUAUGGUAAUAGCAUGAAAGAGCCAAUGAGUGAACGAGAGAGUAAAAGAGAAAAUAUGAGGGAGAAAUGAAACAAAUGUGGAAUAAGUAAAACAAUGAGUAACACAAAGUGCAGAGUAAAACGUGAUAAUAAAAGUAAUAUGUUUAUAGGCUAUUGGUUUCAGUAAACGAGUAAUAAUUGAAUAACGAAAUAAGAAUUGAAAUAAGAAUUACACGAAACAGAGAAUGUGUAUAAACUGUGAAUUGAGCUUAAAUUAUAUUUGAACGUAGGUACAAUUAAAAGUCUAUUAGUAUUUUAUAUUGAAACUUUAGUAAUUAUUCGUUUUAACUAAUUAUUCUUCUAACUAUUAUUAUUGUCAUUAUUUCUCAUAUCGUCCUCGUUUUCGUCGUCAUUCUGCGAAGCCAUUCCAACAUCUUUAACGCCCUUCACGGAUUUCACCCUCGUUGCGCGUUUAGCUUUUAAAUUGUAAAUACUUCGCAAGUUCUCCCUGCAAGUCGAGCCUGAAAUCCGGAUAGGGCCCUUCCUCGCAACUAGCCUUUAGCACACGUAAUAUGACGAUAUUGAAGACCAGUUUCAUCAUCUUCGGUUGACUUAACCCUUAGAGGGUACACGGGAUAUGGCAUACCCCACGUAAACUUUGCGCUCCAACAAAUCUUAUUAAAAUGUACAAAAAAAACAUGAAAAUUACAAUCUUUAAUUUUUCCAUAAAAUCGUUAUUUUUAUUUUUCAUUUUUUAAAUACAUUUUAAAUAAAUUUUUUAAACAAUGUUAAUUUUUUAAAAUCAUAAAAUCUAUUAAAUUUUAAAAUACAUGUCGUCAGCUUUAUACAGUAAUUUUUUUACAAUAAAAUAUCCAAUAGCGUCAUUACAGCACGCAUUAAAAGACGGUGGGGUAUGUCAUACUCGGUAUGCUUUUCACGUAUUUUUUUAGAAAUGUGCCCUCUAAGGGUAAAUACCUGCCGUAAUAUCAGCCGAUUGAAUUUGGGAAUUGAAGAAAGAACUGAAAAAAAAACUUAAUCGAUCAUAUUCUUUCCUUGGAAAAUAAUCUUCUCCAGGAAUAUAAAAUAAUGAUCAGAUUCAAGUUUUUUACAGUUGGAAACUCUUAAAUCCAAUCGGCCAAUUAAAAGUUAACUAGAAAUGGUGAGAUUGACUCUAAUUCUACGUGUUAACUCACAAGCAGCGUCCUGUAGCGUUUUAUCUGCCAUUAACGACGACGUAAUAUAGGUACGACAUCGGGAAUUAUAUUACAUACGACUAGUAUUAAUUAUUAUUUUCUUUUAUGUUAGUUAUUUAUGAAUCUUCUUUGUGAUGGUCACGCUCUCGUCUGCCCACGCGGUUUUUUUUUCCUGCGAUUGGAACCGGAUGCCUCGACUUUAGAGCAGUAUUGCCUGUACACAAUGUCCAUUUUAUUUUCUCUCUCGAAUUUAUUUUAUUUUACACUCGUAUCCAUGGCUGACGAGGGUGUGGCUUCGCUUCUCGCUUAUUUUUCCUACACUCAUUCACUUAUCGUGGUAUUAUGUAUCACUGAUAGAAUGCAUUAAUGUUAUGUAUGUCGAUCAGCACACUACUUUCCUAUCGAUACAUUAUUUUCCAUUCUGAUGUACAUACUUGAUAUACACUUUAUUAUUAUUAUUAUUAUUAUUAUUAUUAUUAUUAUUAUUAUUAUUAUUAUUAUUAUUAUUUAAUAUGCAUCAUCGUCUUCAUUAUUAGUUGGUUAAUACUAUGUUAAUAAUAUUAUAAACGUUUUUUCUUUUCUAGUCUAAAAUAAAUUUGACACCAAGAUUAUUUUUUUGUUUCUUUCUUGUUUUAAAUUUUAUGUUCCGUCCUGAAUAUCCUUAUCCUACCAUCGCAAGGAGCCAUCACAACAGUUACAUCAGAAACGUUUCGGAUUCGUUUCACAGAGAUCGACAUACAUGGCACUAUAGCCACUAACCAAGCCUGUAACAUCGAUCGCAUGAUGAAAUCAUAAGUCAAAUUAGUAGCUACGAAUUCUGGGAGACUAACUCGCAUCCGCUUAAUGAAUUAGAAAUGAUGAAGAAAACGUUAAUAUGACGCGAUGCCUCGAGACUUGUGCUCAUCAUUUACCAUGUCCUAUAAAUUAUAUUUUUGUUUGACACAAAACUUUUUAAUAUUUAUGUGGUAAUAAAAUCUACACCUUUAUAAUUAUUUUAUAAUAACGUGACAAAGCGGAUGAAGCAUUUUGUAAAAAAAAAGAAGCUUGAAAUUGCUCAGAUAAAAUUAAAAUAUUCUUAGAACUUUGAUUGUUACACGUUUAGGACUUUAGUUUUAUAAACUUUAAAUAUUCUUAAUACAUAUAUAAAUUUACAAUUACAAAACUAAAAUCAAAUUUCUAACGAAAGUUUUAUGAUUCACGAUUUAAAUAAACUUGAUGAAAUUAUACAUUUCUAACAAUUCUAACUUAAUUUAUUAAUACGCGGACGUAUUGCAGUCACUAAACCCGUUUACAUUUUUAUUAUAUAACAAAAUUCAACAUUUUAAAAGAUACACGUAAAAGUUAGGGAAUGCUCUGAGAAUUUCUGAAAAUGCAGAUCAGGUGAAUAUAAUUAAUAGGUGACUCUUGUCAUGAUUUUGAACGUAACAAGUUUCCUGCACAUUGCAACUUGCGAUAAAUGAAACGUCGAAAGAAUACUCGAAGUGCUGGAGGAGAGACCGCUGAAGUUACCGGAUAACUUCGUGAUUGGUCACAAAUUUGACACGCGCGUCCACGUUUACCUCGGAUAAAAAGCUCGGAUAUUAAUUAGUCGCGGUGCUUUUUCGAAGCGUCUUAGAAGGCGACACAAAAGCGACGUAGAUACACGCGGCGUCGAGCGAGGAGACGGCGGAUCGCAUGAACUAUUGUGCGCGUGGUCAUGGUCGUUCAUCGACAAGUCCGCCUCGACGUUACCGCGGCUGCCUCGAUAAAAUUCCCCAAACGACGCGAUUGCCGCAUUGAAUAGGACGAGACAUGUGGAAAAAAGGGAACAAUGGGCCCCGAUAUUCGCUGGGAAAAUUGAUUUUCUAAGUGAUGAAACGUUGCCGGCGCUUUUGAAUCGCAUUGUCUCGCGUAUACACGAGGAGUAUGUACACGUUCCACGUUUCAGUUUCGUUCCUCCGAGAUCGUUAUGAAGCCGUUGCCGUUAACCGCGAGAGAAGAGACGGAAGGGACUUUACACUUUACUUAAUACGACCUCUCGUAAUUUGUUUCUCCAGAUGUGGAAGCGUCGAGCGCAUCUUAAAAUAUUCAUCCGUAGGCAAGCACAAAUUACGUCGGCGUGACACGAGAUUUGAUUCAUUAAUAUACAGUCGCGCGAAGCAAAAACAGUUUUCGAGUGAUUUCCAUUUCCAUUAUUUAUGAAACGCGCGCGCGCGCUCACGGCCCUACCGGUGAGCACCGUCGGAGUGAGGAGUCCGACCGAAUCUCUUAUACAUUCCAUAGUUACACACACGACGUCCAAAAGCGCUCCGGAGAAUAAAGGCAGGAAAAUCUAUACGCCGAGAAGAGAACGGCAUUGAAAUCCCAUGCUAAUGCUGAGUACACAGCGCGAGCGAGCAAACGUCCCGUCGUGUUGCGGCACGUGUCACAUCGACACUUCCGUAUAUAUACACCAAUGUCUAAACAUUCACUCGAGUUUCUUGAUCCGCCGUUUCGGCGCGCGGCGGAAAGGAGAGGAGGAAGAGAAGUGGAAGGAAAGAAGGGGAGAGGAAUGGGCGGCUUAACUCGGGGGAAUUCAUUUCGGGGCCUCAACCCUUCCGGUCUCGCGCGUCUCUCGUGGCUGCGGGGCCACGCCACGUGUCGCUCUCGGGGAGGACAGGCAUGCAGGAGCGCGAGGUGCGCGCACACGCGUCACCGCCGUUAUGCUAAUGCGAGUCGGCUCGCGGGAUCGCCCGCGGCACACGAGGCACAACCGUCGUCGUCGUCAUCGUCGUCGUCGUCGUCGGCGGCUCUCUUCUUCUUUAUGUAGCCGGCGACGGCGGAACGAUUAUACGCGCGAUUCGUGAAAUUAUGCAAAGUACACGGCGGCGAGGAAACUCCGCUGCUCCUCCUCAUCGCUACCGCCGCUCGCGUGCUACGCGCGCCCGACCUCGGAGGGGUUGCGCGAGCGACGCGCACGAUAGACACGCGCGCGGCGCCGCGUUUGCGGCGGAAAUGCAAAUGGUAACUUCUCUCUGUCUCGCGGGGUGGCUGAGCCGCCCCGUUCGCCCCCCUUUGUCCCGCGCGUUGCGUGUGCACCGGGGUGAAUAUUGAGUCGUCCAUCCGAUCUGAGAUUAUCCCUCGGAAAAUCGUGCUAUUCUUUUUUUCCACCUUUUCUACUUGGGUAUGGCGGUUCGGAAUUGAAGCGGUUCCGAAAAAUGUCUCGCGACUCGGCUCGCGCAGUUCUAGAUCCCGAUUACAGAUUUCGGUAUCGCGUAACGACGGUAUUACAUUAUGUAAGCGGACCGAUAAGUAUCGCUGUAAUGAGAAUACAGCUUGAAGAGAGACACGUUAGUGAAAUAAGGAAAUCCCGCGGAUGAAUUUUUUUAGAUUAUUUUUCUUUUUUAUAUAACACACGAAAAUGUGUGCUCGAUUGAUUCGUGGUGGAGGUCACGUUGAUAAUGUUACGCGAUGAGGAAACCUUCGGCAAGUAAAAAGACGUCUUGGCUUAGGAUUAUAAAUGUAUCCGGCAUCGAACGUGUUUCAACCAGUAGAAUUACUUUAUCUUCAUUAUUACAUCUUAACUUCCCCGUAGAUCAGGAUCACGUCAGCUUUAUCUUGGUAGUCGACGCCAUAUUUGCUAAAUGACUUUAUAUUUCUAAGAUAAAAAUUUCGCGUUGAAUAGAGGGCAUUCUAGGAUCGCAGAAAAGCGCCAGUCUAAUAUGCCAGUAUCCGUGGUAUGUAUGUUGAAAGAUUAAUUUAAUGGCUCGCUAAUAAGCAGGGUAACGAUGUAGUCAGUUUAAUUUCACUAACCGUUACUGUUCUGUAUCUUCAUUAACACUGUUUGCAAUUUGCUUUUGCCGUAAAACCAUUAAAUCGUUGCCGUUUUACGCGUACGUUGUACAAAACAUUCCGCUUCAGAGGUUUCCGCUCGAGGAACGAUCGUUAUAUAGGCCAAAAGGAUCUCGAGGGAGAACGAAACGUGUCCUUUUGUCGAGUGGGAGUGCAGGCCACCAGAUAGGAAUUAGCAUGCCGCGCGACGCGAAUCGUCCUUUUGCCACAACGUCGGGUAUCCUCGCGACCUUCGUGUAUUCGCCGCUUAAUCCCUUUGAAUUCGGCGAAUGGGACCGCUCUCUUUCUUUACCUCGGCUAACUUUGAGGCCGCGCUGCGGCUGAGGAAGGACCACGAAAUCGGUUUCCUCUCACCUUUCGCCCGCGCCUGUCUCCUCAGUGUCCUGGUCCCAGGCCAUAUGUUACCCGAUCCGUGGCCUAGCUAUUAAUUAUAUCGAUCUAUAUGGGCUGCACGUUAACGGCAGCGGCGCGCGAGCCAGGACCAGUGACGCUUUAUAGUCGUUCUCUUCUCCCUUUACCAGCCUCCCUCUUCUCUCUCUCUCUCUCUUUCUUUCCCUUCCGUUUUGCUCCUCUCUUUGCUCUCCAACAGCGAAGUGAGAGCCUAAAAAAGCUGGAGCCUCACGCAUUGCGCAGAAAUACAUAAAACCCGACCGAAGGCAUAAAUCAUUAGAGCCGAUGUAGAGAAACUAUUACGUGACUCAUGCCUGGGGAUCCGGAGAAGGGGAGGUAGAAAAGGAGAUAGUGUGGAUUAUACAAAAAAAAAAUGUUUGAGGGGUAGCGGUGCGUUUCCUAGGGGUACCUAACCGUCGAAGUAAAGCUCCAGUUAGCAGAUUAUUCAGGUCGUGUUAGCGAGAUUUCGAUAUCUGAUCGUCUUUGUUUUUUCACGUUCUAUAUUGAAUUACGCAUAAUUAAAUCACGAUCACCUUAGAAUGUUUUUCGAGCAAUUCUACUUCCGAAAAAAAAAAAAUUAAGAUUUUAGGAAAACAAUUUUCUCAACAUCUUCACAGAAAGGAAAUAUUUCCCCGAGAUAAUUUGACAUUACCCAGACAACAAAUUUACAUCCAUAGUACGUCCUUGAGACAUCGCGCUAGUUAUCCCGCGAUUAUAACGAGAUUGUCUCAUGGGAUGCCCAUAGGAUAAAAAAUGUCUACUGUCUUUACCGCAGUAGGACGAUCUUGCUGACGUCCUAAAGACGUCCCUACGAUAGCCCAAGAUCUCCAUAAGACAUCAAGA